UGGGGAAUUGUUCGCAAUGGGCGCAAGCCUGACGACGCAACGCCGCGUGGAGGAUGAAGAUCUUCGGGUCGUAAACUCCUUUCGAUCGGGAAGAACGCCUUCGGUGUGAAUAUCACCGAGGAGUGACGGUACCGAGAGAAGAAGCCCCGGCUAACUCCGUGCCAGCAGCCGCGGUAAUACGGGGGGGGCAAGCGUUGUUCGGAAUUACUGGGCGUAAAGGGCUCGUAGGCGGCCAACUAAGUCCGACGUGAAAUCCCCAGGCUUAACUUGGGAACUGCGUCGGAUACUGGUUGGCUUGAAUCCGGGAGAGGGAUGCGGAAUUCCAGGUGUAGCGGUGAAAUGCGUAGAUAUCUGGAGGAACACCGGUGGCGAAGGCGGCAUCCUGGACCGGCAUUGACGCUGAUGAGCGAAAGCCAGGGGAGCAAAC
rnacentral:rRNA from 1 species